rnacentral:piRNA from 1 species
UCUAAGAAACAGAAGUGUGUCUGUAGAACA